rnacentral:ncRNA from 2 species
AGUGAUGAUAGAGGCGCGAACGUCAAUAGUAAGCAUUCGGAGAUUUGCAGAAUCUGAGAUGGAUGGUGAAAGGGGCGAUCGCCGAAGUGUGCGUUAAACUGCUUUUACGCAUGCUGGUUUUGCAUUUAAUAAGUGCAGGGCUGUCAGAGUGAAUCUCUGGAGGGCUAUCUCACAU